GUUCUCUCUUGUUCAGUAGCCACCAUCUCAUCACGAAUUUUGCCAAUUUCGGUGUUGACUCCUGUUGCAAUUACCACUCCCAUAGCUUUACCAGCAGCAAUGUUAGUACCAGAAAAAAGCAUGUUCUUCUUGUCUUGAUUUACAGCACGAGGAUCGGGUACAGGAUCAGUGUGCUUAAUAACAGACACAGAUUCACCUGUGAGAAUGGACUGGUCUACCCUUAGAGUUGUAGAUUUGAUAGAAGUGAUUCUUAUAUCAGCAGGAACCUUGUCUCCAACUGCCACUUCCACAAUAUCACCUGGGACAAUGUCUCUUGCUUUGAUUCUCUGAACGCUCUUCCGAUCUUGUCGAUACACUUUACCCAUUUCUGGUUCAUAUUCUUUAAGAGCUUCAAUAGCAUUUUCAGCAUUUCUUUCCUGCCACACUCCCACAAUUGCAUUGGCUACUAAUAUAAGUAAGAUUACAAAAGGCUCUACAAACGCUGUGAUUGUUUCUUCACCUUCUUCAAACCAGGCCAGCACAAAAGAUAUGCAAGCUGCCAGCAACAGAAUUCUAACUAGUAAGUCUUCAAAUUGUUCAAUCACAAGCUCAAGUAAGGUUUUUCCUUCCUCAGCUGGUAACUCGUUGGAGCCCCAUUUCUCCUUCAGCUUCUUCACUUGCUCCAGGCUGAGCCCGGUGCUUUCGUUGACCCCGAAAUACGCCAAAACUUCCUCCACAGUCUUUGUGUGCGCGUUCUCCAUGGUCGGGGCAGGGAGCGGCAAAUGGAGCCUCGCUUCUUCUUCCUCCUCCUCCUCCUCAGCGGCGGAGUGCCC
rnacentral:lncRNA from 1 species